UGUAGGAUAGGUGGGAGACUGUGAAACCUCGACGCCAGUUGGGGCGGAGUCGUUGUUGAAAUACCACUCUGAUCGUAUUGGGCAUCUAACCUCGAACCCUGAAUCGGGUUUAGGGACAGUGCCUGGCGGGUAGUUUAACUGGGGCGGUUGCCUCCUAAAAUGUAACGGAGGCGCCCAAAGGUUCCCUCAACCUGGACGGCAAUCAGGUGGCGAGUGUAAAUGCACAAGGGAGCUUGACUGCGAGACUUACAAGUCAAGCAGGGACGAAAGUCGGGAUUAGUGAUCCGGCACCCCCGAGUGGAAGGGGUGUCGCUCAACGGAUAAAAGGUACCCCGGGGAUAACAGGCUGAUCUUCCCCAAGAGUCCAUAUCGACGGGAUGGUUUGGCACCUCGAUGUCGGCUCGUCGCAUCCUGGGGCUGGAGCAGGUCCCAAGGGUUGGGCUGUUCGCCCAUUAAAGCGGCACGCGAGCUGGGUUUAGAACGUCGUGAGACAGUUCGGUCUCUAUCCGCCGCGCGCGUCAGAAACUUGAGGAAACCUGUCCCUAGUACGAGAGGACCGGGACGGACGAACCUCUGGUGCACCAGUUGUCCCGCCAGGGGCACGCUGGAUAGCCACGUUCGGUCAGGAUAACCGCUGAAAGCAUCUAAGCGGGAAACCUUCUCCAAGAUCAGGUUUCUCACCCACUUGGUGGGAUAAGGCCCCCCGCAGAACACGGGUUCAAUAGGUCAGACCUGGAAGCUCAGUAAUGGGUGUAGGGAACUGGUGCUAACCGGCCGAAAACUUACAACA
rnacentral:rRNA from 1 species